GGGUUAUGAAUUUAAAACACAAUGAAUUAAAAAUUUAGGAACGUGUUCAGAGCAUACAACUAACUAGAGUUCUAAAAGAAUUAAUAUAAAAUUUAAUAAAUAACUGAUGUGGGUCCUACACCGAGAGGACUCAAUAUGCCAAUGCGAAAGCGUUGACGUCGGGAUCGUAUGUCUCAAUUCUAAAUCCUAAAAGGGGGCACAAAACAAGGGUGAGUGGACCAAGUUCAUAUAUAUGCAUAAUAUAAAAACAGUUAUGAACAUACUAACCCUCAGGUUUAUAUAUAAUGAAAACUACUAACAUAAUAAGUGAUAGGUUUUCUGAAACUUUAGCAUGCCAUAAAACAUCUCAACAGGUAUAACGCAGAAAACAUCAUAUAAAUCAUCGUGUGUAUCGUCUCGUAAGCGCGGUGUGCUGCUAGUAAGAUCACUGAAAUAAAUAUAACUCUCGGCCAUAUGCCAGCAUCGUGGUCUCUACACCCGUAGCCAGAGA
rnacentral:lncRNA from 1 species